GAGCGCCGUCGUGGCUUCUCUGAAGAAUCGAAAGGGCGUGGAAUUAGUCGAUAUAGACGGUGAAAUAAAAGAAAUUACCUCAGAAUGGCGUUCUGAGUAGGGUCUACGGAGAGAAAAAUAAUCACUUAUUCGAUCAUUUUAAUUAAUUUGUUCGUUAUUAUCGCAGUAUUGUCAAGGUUGCAACUUUCUUGACGGGGGAGGGGGGGAAGAGGCAAAAUGGCGCAUGCGCAGAGCGAGGCACUCGGCGCGCGGGAUUGAGACGCAGGAGCGGAUCCCGCCAAUCAAACGAGAUCUCGGCAGAUGAUUGGCCACAAGAGUUGGGUUCUUUUUCCCCUCCUAUCCGCGAGAGGAGGAGGCGGGGCGAAAGAGCCAAGCGGCUAUAAAAGGCGCGACCGUUACUUUUACCUCAGGAUGGGACUCAAAACAGUCCCGAAACGUGCAAAUCUUGGAUGCAUUUGAUCUGGAAGAGGAUGCUGAGAAGAGAAGAAGAGACUGCCCUCUUGUGGCGAGAAAUGAUCCCAAAUUCAACGAAUGGGUGGCACAUUAAUUAUCCCAAAAUCCUGAAUCAGAAAUCGUCCAGGUAACAAAAUCCUUGCUUUCUGAUGGAUCAAAAAUGUUGUUUUGUGCACACAAUAUUGUGUAACAUUACUUUCAUGCUAUGUUUAUAGGCUGCGUAUGAAACAUUAAUGAAUUUUAUUUUUUGACUUGGGUUCCCGCCUCCAAGAUGAUGAUGAUGAUGAUGAUGAUGAUGAUGAUGAUGAUGAUGAUGAUGAUUAUUAUUAUUACAGUAGAGUCUCACUAAUCCAAGCCUCGCUUAUCCAAGCCUCUGGAUAAUCCAAGCCAUUUUUGUAGUCAAUGUUUUCAAUAUAUCGUGAUAUUUUGGUGCUAAAUUCGUAAAUACAGUAAUUACAUCAUAACAUUACUGCGUAUUGAACUACCUUUUCUGUCCAAUUUGUUGUAUAACAGGAUGUUUUGGUGCUUAAUUUGUAAAAUCAUAACCUAAUUUGAUGUUUAAUAGGCUUUUCCUUAAUCCCUCCUUAUUAUCCAAGUUAUUCGCUUAUCCAAGCUUCUGCCGGCCCGUUUAGCUUGGAUAAAUGAGACUCUACUGUAUUAUUAUCAUUAUUAUUAUUAUUUACUGUAUGUAUUUGUGCUCCUCUUUUCCCCAGAUUGAGAAAUCAAGAAGCAAUACAGGUAAAAAAGAUGGAAAGAGCAGUAAACCAAAUCAAUAAUUACAAUGAUAUCCAUAUAUAUGUAUCUAUAUAUACAUAUAUCUCAAAUCCAAAACAUUCCUCAUCCUGAGCAUUUCAGGUUAUGAGAUAAGCAACCUGUAUGCAUGAACUAAAAUACAAAGAAAGUAAAAUCAAAUACGAUUAAACAAAAUAUAGCAAAGGCAACACCUUGCUAUAUCUUGAGGGAUCUACGAGUCUUAGCAGAUCACAAGUUCUGGGUUUUAUAGUUUGGCGAGGCACCAACACUAUUUUGCAGGCAAGGCAUAAAGGCCGUGCAAAACUAUAACUCCCAGGACUAUAACUAUAUAACUAUAACUCACUUUAUUUUGAAUGUUUUUAUAUUGUGGAAUGAUUUUUUUAAUUGUAAGUCGCUUGGAGCACUCUGGUGGAGAGCGACUAAUUAAGAAAUAAAGUGAAGUGAAGUGAAGGAUCCCAUAGUAUUUCGCCAUGGCAGUUAAAAUGCUCUCAAACUGCAUUAAUUCUGCAGUGUGGCUGCAUUCCUAGCCUCUGCUGUCCAUUCAUCUCAGGCCCCUUCUACACUGCCAUAUAAUCCAGAUUAUCAAGGCAAAUAAUCCACAUUGGAUAUGCGUCUAGAGUGUCAUAUAAUCCAGUUCAAAGCAGAUAAUCUGGAUUUUAUAUGGCAGCAUAGAAGGGGCCUCAGAGAGAGAGAGAAAAACAACCCAAAUUUUGCAAUUUACAGAAAAGAUGCAAAUACUGUCAACACUGUAAGGGACUGCACUGUUUGGGGUUUUCCAAGGAAGCGUCUACACUGUUGAAGAAUGCAGUUUGACACCUGUGGCUGAAUGCUAUGGAAUCCUGGGAGUUGUAGUUUUAUAAGUUCUUUAGCCUUUUCUGCAAGAGAUGAUUAGCACUUCCCCAAACUAUAACUCUCAUGACUGCUUAGUACUGAGCCAUGGCAGUUUAAAGUGCAUUAAUUCUAUAGUGUAGAUGCAUGAAUCCCAUGAAGACAGAGGGAUGGCAAACCUGAGGUGCAUGAGAACCACAAAAGAGUUCUGCUACAAUUUUAUGAAUAUGUGGUGAUGUGAUUGUGUCUUUCCAGCCCCAGAAGGCAUCGGAGGCUUUCAGUUCCUCCUUGCGUUUCCAUUUUUGUGUCCCUUUCUUUCCGGAGAUGGUUCCUCUUCUUGGGGGCCCAACGAAGAUAUAUAUAUCUUUUUACUUGAAUCCUGAGUUUUGCAAGGACAGAGUUGUAGCAAUUAAAGCCAAAGAGCUAUUAUUUGUGUAUGGUCUCAAUGCCUUUUUAAAUCAGGUCUUAACUUCUCACGAUGUGUCCAAAGUCUGAUAGCCUCCCAACUUCCACAUUUCAGGCUCAUUAAUUUGAUUUAUUUUUCCCAGCACUCCAUGGUCAUGCAUUGCAUUAUACUUUGCUUCUACACUGUAGGAUGAAUGCAGUUUGAUACCACUUGGGACUCCUAUGGUUAAAUGCUAUGGGAAUGAUGGGAGUUGUACUUAUAGCACCUUUAACUUCCUCUAUGUUUACAAGUCUCACUUAGUGCACUUUGAUCAGCCUAUCCUUAUGUUUUUAUUGAUGUGUUUUAACUUUGUCUUAUUAAUGGUUUGAUUUUAAUCAUAUGUUUUAAUUUUUCAUUUGUGCGUUUUCGGUGUUUGAUGUUUUUGUAUGUAUACUCUUUUGCAUUUGUAAGCCUCCCUGAGUCCCUGCGGGGAGAUAGAGGCGGGGUACAAGAAUAAAAUUAUUAUUAUUAUUAUUAUUA